CAGUAGCCACGGGAAUACGGAGGGGGCUAGCGUUGUUCGGAAUUACUGGGCGUAAAGCGUACGUAGGCGGCUUUGUAAGUUAGAGGUGAAAGCCUGGAGCUCAACUCCAGAAUUGCCUUUAAGACUGCAUCGCUUGAACGUCGGAGAGGUGAGUGGAAUUCCGAGUGUAGAGGUGGAAUUCGUAGAUAUUCGGAAGAACACCAGUGGCGAAGGCGGCUCACUGGACGACUGUUGACGCUGAGGUACGAAAGCGUGGGGAGCAAACAGGAUUAGAUACCCCUGUAGUCCCUGUCUCUUAUAC
rnacentral:rRNA from 1 species